rnacentral:rRNA from 1 species
AUGGUUAAGCUAGAAAGAGCACACGGAGGAUGCCUAGGCACUAGGAGCCGAAGAAGGACGUGGCGAACGACGAAAUGCCUCGGGGAGCCGUAAGCAGGCUUUGAUCCGGGGAUGUCCGAAUGGGGGAACCCAGCUGUGGUAAUGCGCAGUUACCAUGCAGUGAAUACAUAGCUGCAUUGGAGGCAUACCCAGGGAACUGAAACAUCUAAGUACCUGGAGGAAAAGAAAACAAAAGUGAUUCCGUCAGUAGCGGCGAGCGAAAGCGGAAUAGCCCAAACCAAGGAGCUUGCUCCUUGGGGUUGUAGGACCUCGUUAUGGGGUUAGUUCGAUAGGCGAAGUGAUCUGGAAAGGUCCGGCAUAGAAGGUAAAAGCCCUGUAGCUCAAAUCGAACGAAAUCCCUAGAGGUAUCCUGAGUACGGCGGGUCACGUGAAACCCCGUCGGAAUCCGGCAGGACCAUCUGCCAAGGCUAAAUACUCCCUAGUGACCGAUAGUGAAGCAGUACCGUGAGGGAAAGGUGAAAAGCACCGCGGAAGCGGAGUGAAAAAGAACCUGAAACCGUGUGCUUACAAAAAGUCAGAGCCCUCUAUAUGGGUGAUGGCGUGCCUUUUGUAGAAUGAACCGGCGAGUUACGUUCCCGUGCGAGGUUAAG